UACGUAGGGUGCAAGCGUUGUCCGGAAUUAUUGGGCGUAAAGAGCUCGUAGGCGGUUUGUCGCGUCGAAUGUGGAAACCCGGGGCUCAACCCCGGGCCUGCAUUCGAUACGGGCAGACUAGAGUUCGGUAGGGGAGUCUGGAAUUCCUGGUGUAGCGGUGAAAUGCGCAGAUAUCAGGAGGAACACCGGUGGCGAAGGCGGGACUCUGGGCCGAUACUGACGCUGAGGAGCGAAAGCGUGGGGAGCGAACAGG
rnacentral:rRNA from 1 species